GCUAAGCUCAUCACUACUGAUUAUGACAGGCGUGCAACGGCACACAUCCACAGAGCACUCUUCAAAUCAUCUACACAGUGGUUAUCCAACUAGGAUUAUAAAGGCACACAUUGACAUAGACCACUGUUGCAGUCAACGACACAGUCGCUAUCCAAGUAGCAUUAUAGAGCUGUCAUGCAACGCAACAACUGUGCUAUCUGCCAUCGCACAUCAACGAAGAAGUGCAGCCGCCCACAUUCCACCUCACGUCUGUCCGACUAGCUGCAAUCCUCGAGGACGCCCCACUGUACCACGAUUUCACUACGAUGUUUGACAAGAAGGAGCAGUGCGCGAGAUAGGCUAAUGAGCAGACUUCCCUCGCUUGAGUUUCGGAAGAAUGUUCCAUAUCGCGCUAAGCUGACCACUGCUGACUGUUGACUGUGCUUUGAGAGAGACUGGCGCCAUGCCUAGAGAUAUGACUGACCCCUAUUGGCAAAUUUGUAUGACUUUAUCUUGCCUACCUAGCUGCUGCCUAUAGUCUCCCUUUAACUGCGGAACACUU